UGCAAGUCGAGCGGGUCCUUCGGGGUCAGCGGCGGACGGGUGAGUAACGCGUGGGAACGUGCCUUCUGGUUCGGAAUAACCCUGGGAAACUAGGGCUAAUACCGGAUACGCCCUUUUGGGGAAAGGUUUACUGCCGGAAGAUCGGCCCGCGUCUGAUUAGCUAGUUGGUGGGGUAACGGCCUACCAAGGCGACGAUCAGUAGCUGGUCUGAGAGGAUGAUCAGCCACACUGGGACUGAGACACGGCCCAG
rnacentral:rRNA from 1 species